rnacentral:rRNA from 1 species
UGAAGGAUGAAGGCGUUCUGCGUUGUAAACUUCUUUUAUCUGGGAAGAAACCUACGAUUUCUAUUGUAGCCGACGGUACCAGAGGAAUAAGCACCGGCUAACUCCGUGCCAGCAGCCGCGGUAAUACGGAGGGUGCAAGCGUUAUCCGGAUUCACUGGGUUUAAAGGGUGUGUAGGCGGGCAUUUAAGUCAGUGGUGAAAUCUCCAGGCUCAACCUGGAAACUGCCAUUGAUACUAUUUGUCUUGAAUCCUGUUGAGGUGGGCGGAAUAUAUCAUGUAGCGGUGAAAUGCUUAGAUAUGAUAUAGAACACCGAUUGCGAAGGCAGCUCACUAAGCAGGUAUUGACGCUGAGGCACGAAAGCGUGGGGAUCAAACAGGAUUAGAUACCCUGGUAGUCCACGCCCUAAACGA